rnacentral:misc_RNA from 1 species
AAGUCGUAACAAGGUUUCCGUAGGUGAACCUGCGGAAGGAUCAUUAUCGAAUAAAUCUGACGUGGUUGUAGCUGGCCCUCCGGGGCAUGUGCACACCUGUCACCUUUUAUCUUUCCACCUGUGCACACACUGUAGUCCUGGAUACCCCUCGCCGCAAGGCGGACUUGGGGUUUGCCGUUUGCCCCCUCAGUGGGAGGGCUCGGCUCACCCCUGAAUUUCCAGGUCUAUGAUCUCACACACCCCAAAGAAUGUAAUAGAAUGUCAUCACAAAGGCCCUCGUGCCUAUAUAAAUUUAUACAACUUUCAGCAACGGAUCUCUUGGCUCUC